rnacentral:rRNA from 1 species
GGCGGACGGGUGAGUAACACGUGGGAACGUGCCUUUAGGUUCGGAAUAGCUCCUGGAAACGGGUGGUAAUGCCGAAUGUGCCCUUCGGGGGAAAGAUUUAUCGCCUUUAGAGCGGCCCGCGUCUGAUUAGCUAGUUGGUGAGGUAAUGGCUCACCAAGGCGACGAUCAGUAGCUGGUCUGAGAGGAUGACCAGCCACAUUGGGACUGAGACACGGCCCAAACUCCUACGGGAGGCAGCAGUGGGGAAUCUUGCGCAAUGGGCGAAAGCCUGACGCAGCCAUGCCGCGUGAAUGAUGAAGGUCUUAGGAUUGUAAAAUUCUUUCACCGGGGACGAUAAUGACGGUACCCGGAGAAGAAGCCCCGGCUAACUUCGUGCCAGCAGCCGCGGUAAUACGAAGGGGGCUAGCGUUGCUCGGAAUUACUGGGCGUAAAGGGCGCGUAGGCGGACAUUUAAGUCAGGGGUGAAAUCCCAGAGCUCAACUCUGGAACUGCCUUUGAUACUGGGUGUCUUGAGUGUGAGAGAGGUAUGUGGAACUCCGAGUGUAGAGGUGAAAUUCGUAGAUAUUCGGAAGAACACCAGUGGCGAAGGCGACAUACUGGCUCAUUACUGACGCUGAGGCGCGAAAGCGUGGGGAGCAAACAGGAUUAGAUACCCUGGUAGUCCACGCCGUAAACGAUGAUUGCUAGUUGUCGGGCUGCAUGCAGUUCGGUGACGCAGCUAACGCAU